AAACGAUUCCUCUUCUCGCUCCGGUUGGACUUUCCUUUCUGUCCUUUUACUUUUUUCACCUUUUUGAUUGGCCAUGAUUAGGGCCAUUACAAAUUCCUAUCUAUUCAUUCGUCGUUGUUGAUAUCUUGUGAAAUUUAUGGCUUGCUUCUGCAAUUUUUAUCUAUUGAUUACUGAAACCUGUUCUUCAAUUGCCUUUGGUAAAUUUAUUUUAUCCUUUUAUUAUGAAAUCAUCCAUUGCUCUGUGUUGCUUGUGUCAAUUUUAGCCUCGAAUUGGAUUUUAGUUGCUCUGUUGAGUCUGCGUGCUGACUGAGAUUCUAAAUUCAGAUUGUUGAAUUUUCCUCAACUACAUCUUUUAACGGGAAGUUGUGAUUUUGUCGCCCAUCUGAUUGUGAAACUAACGGGAUUUAGUUUGCAACGAGUUUAUUU
rnacentral:misc_RNA from 1 species